rnacentral:tRNA from 1 species
GGUCCCAUAGCUCAGUUGGUUAGAGCACCUGACUCAUAAUCAGGGGGUCCUAGGAUCAUGCCCUAGUGGGACCA